rnacentral:tRNA from 1 species
GGACGAUUAGCUCAGCUGGUUAGAGUACUACCUUGACAUGGUAGGGGUCAUUGGUUCGAGUCCAAUAUCGUCCA